AGUGGGGAAUUUUGGACAAUGGGCGCAAGCCUGAUCCAGCAAUGCCGCGUGCAGGACGAAGGCCUUCGGGUUGUAAACUGCUUUUGUACGGAACGAAAAGCCUUCUUCUAAUACAGGAGGGUCAUGACGGUACCGUAAGAAUAAGCACCGGCUAACUACGUGCCAGCAGCCGCGGUAAUACGUAGGGUGCAAGCGUUAAUCGGAAUUACUGGGCGUAAAGCGUGCGCAGGCGGUUGUGUAAGACAGGUGUGAAAUCCCCGAGCUUAACUUGGGAAUUGCACUUGUGACUGCACAGCUAGAGUGCGGCAGAGGGGGAUGGAAUUCCGCGUGUAGCAGUGAAAUGCGUAGAUAUGCGGAGGAACACCGAUGGCGAAGGCAAUCCCCUGGGCCUGCACUGACGCUCAUGCACGAAAGCGUGGGGAGCAAACAGGAUUAGAUACCCUGGUAGUCCACGCCCUAAACGAUGUCAACUGGUUGUUGGGAAUUAACUUUCUCAGUAACGAAGCUAACGCGUGAAGUUGACCGCCUGGGGAGUACGGCCGC
rnacentral:rRNA from 1 species